rnacentral:rRNA from 1 species
GUAAAGAGCUCGUAGGCGGCUUGUCACGUCGGUUGUGAAAGCCCGGGGCUUAACCCCGGGUCUGCAGUCGAUACGGGCAGGCUAGAGUUCGGUAGGGGAGAUCGGAAUUCCUGGUGUAGCGGUGAAAUGCGCAGAUAUCAGGAGGAACACCGGUGGCGAAGGCGGAUCUCUGGGCCGAUACUGACGCUGAGGAGCGAAAGCGUGGGGAGCGAACAGGAUUAGAUACCCUGGUAGUCCACGCCGUAAACGGUGGGCACUAGGUGUGGGCAACAUUCCACGUUGUCCGUGCCGCAGCUAACGCAUUAAGUGCCCCGCCUGGGGAGUACGGCCGCAAGGCUAAAACUCAAAGGAAUUGACGGGGGCCCGCACAAGCGGCGGAGCAUGUGGCUUAAUUCGACGCAACGCGAAGAACCUUACCAAGGCUUGACAUACACCGGGAAAACCCUGGAGACAGGGUCCCCCUUAGUGGUCGGUGUACAGGUGGUGCAUGGCCUGUCGUCAGCUCCUUGUCCUGAACAUGUUGGGUUUAAGUCCCGCAACCAAGCGCAAGCCCUUGUUCCCGUGUUUGCCAGCAAGGCCCUUGGAUGGUGCUGGGGAACUCAAGGGAGAACCGCCCGGGGUUCAACUCGGAAGGAAGGUUGGGGACGACAGUUCAAGUACUAUCAUGCCCCUUAUAUGUCUUGGGGUCU